rnacentral:pre_miRNA from 1 species
GGUGCAUAUAUAUACAUGAAUGUGCCUCAUGUCUGGUAUGAGCAUUUGAUGAUUGAUAAUUUCAAUUUGUUUACAUCUUUUUUCUGCAAUCCUAAUACCGCGUACUUUCAAAUGUAAAGAAAUUGAAAUUAUCAAUCAUCAAAUGUUCGUACCAUACGUAAGGCACACUCGUAUGUAUAAUUGUAUU